GUGCUCACUUUGGCAGCAUAUAUACUAAAAUUGGAUUGAUACAGAGAAGAUUAGCAUGGCCCCUGCACAAAGAUGACAUGCAAAUUUGUGAAGCAUUCCAUAUUUUU
ensembl:snRNA RNU6-211P RNA, U6 small nuclear 211, pseudogene